rnacentral:lncRNA from 1 species
GUUAGAUUAGUGUUAAGAUGGAUUAGCUUAAUCUUUAGAUUGGUUUACUGGACACUUGCUAUUUGUCAUUUUUGUGGGUUGAAAUGUACUACGAUUUUGAGGUUGCUUCAUUCUUGAAAAAAUUUCUAAACAUCUUCAUUUAUGACAUUUAUUUUACUCAAGAUUUUUCGGAUUUAAAAGAAUAGUAUUUUAGCUUCAUUACAUGCAAAGCAUAAUCUCAGUUUGUGCUGGAACUAGUGACAUUUUGGUGUUUAAAAGACUUUUAUCAACUCUUAGAGUUUGCUUUUCAAAAGAGUCUUCACAAAAAAUUUCAUCAAAUCUUGUAGUUUAACAUAGUCAAAUGUUAGAGCUAACGGAUGAGUUUUGGACCUUGAACUAAGCUGGUUUUGGAAAACAUAAUUUUUGGACACGGACGUAGUUUUGGUAAUGACUUGGGCGAAUUACUGCUCUUAUUAUAGAAAUAUCUGGGUCAAGGGGUCCGCAUAAAAAGUGUUCAUUUAAGUGUCCUUUAUAACAUAUCCAAAUUUGAGAAUUUUCUAAACUCAUUUAGUUAUAUUUCUGGAAUUAAACUUGGAAACACACGCAUGGACCUGGUUUCUGCCGAUUAGGGCCGAUUGUGGUCUUGUGGUUGUUCUUGGUGUCUUGCUUGCUGGAAAUUGUAUAUUUUGUUAUUUGGUUUAGCUUUAGCAUGCUGAGAACUUAUGCAUAAAUUUGAGUGAUGCAUGUGCAAUAUUACGUGAUUCGUUGUUUUGUGAUAAUUAUCCAUUAUUAUUGCAAAAGAUGGUUUUAUUGGCAUUUAAAUGGAAAGAAAAAUUAGGUGUCGGGUUUGGACACCAAAUCUCAUUUGCUCAAUAAAACGAUGUGGUUUUAAACUAAGUGCGUGCAAAGUUUGACGGAUUAAUUUUGAGUACGCAAGCAGCUACGAAUUUAUUUCAUAAGGCUUUGAACAAAAAGAAAAGUUACGAGGAUUUAUUUGAAAAGGGAUUUUGGUGUUCUUGGCUAAUGAGAAAGAAAACAAUGGACUUGAGUGAUGAUGUGCUCGUGUGUCGCGACCUAAAUUUUCCGGGUGUGGACCACCUAAAAUUUGGCUAAUGGAUUGUUAAGCCUAGACUUAACUCGGGCUCUCCCAAGCCCAUACCAAUUCGCGACUUUAGGUUCAAGUUUUAACAUGCAAUUAAUUUUCAAUUAGGAGUCGUCACUAAUUUAUUUUUGGUGGGUCGAUUAGAAACCCAAGUAAAGUAAUGGGAGAUUUACUUCACUUCUACGAACCAGAGAUUAUGGGUAUGGGGACUUGAUUACACUAGAUUUCUCUAAUGCCCUUUCGGUACCAUUCUUUUAAUUUCAAAAAAAUGUUUUUUUGCAGGCAGCUUGAAUUGAUUUUAAAUUCUAACAUGUGAGGUGACCAUGCAGGUGCGCAAACCACCAAUUUAACACUCAAUAAAGCAAAUGAAUAAAUUGCAGGAUUUACCUCAAAGCAACGAAAGCAUCUGCAAUGUUAAAUUAAAAUCCACAUCGACAACCCUAGAUAUGGUUUCUAAUCAACACGCAAUUUUUAUUUUGUUUUUGCUUAAUUAAUGAAAAUCAUGCGAUAUGCAAUGCAUGCCACUAAUUUAACAUGAAAUGAUAUGACAUGGCAACAUGACUUAGCUAUAUGACCUAAGCCAUAUGACAUAACUAAGCAUGUAGUCUAUCCUAAGCAUGAGAUGAUUUAUUCUAAAUAAUUAUUUUUGUAUUUUCUAUGAGAUUCGAAAUUAAAGAAAUGCAACAUUUAAAUAUGCAAUCUAAAUUAAUCUAAUGACCUAAUUCUAAUGACGGGCAAUUUCUAAUUAAAUGCACCUAACAAAAAUCACUAAAUGACGUGCAUUGUAUGAAACUAAUUCUAUAUGACGUGCACAUGAUUUUUAUUUUCCUAAUAAGCAUGCAAUCUAUUUAGGAGAAAUUAUCUAAACCUAUAAUAUGCAAUCUUAGCAUGCAAUGACGUGCAAAGAAUGCCCUAAUUCUACAUGACAUAUGCAUAUGACAUUUUUUAUUAAAAAAAUGCAAUCUAUCCUAGAAAUUGCAACUAAUUUAUCCUAAGACAAUUUUUAUGAAAUUUCAAAUGAUCUAGCUAAAUUAAGAUUCUAUCUAAUUUAAACUAGGGAUUAAGUCAUAUUAAAUCCUAAUUUAAACUAAGACAUUAUCUAAAUCUAAAAUUCCAUUUAUCUUAAAAAAGAUUAUCUAAAUUUAAAAUGAAGCAUGCAAUUCUAAUUUAAUAUGCACAAUGAUUUUUAUGGUUUUUUUUAAUUAAUUUCGAAAUUAAAGUUUUCACAUAAUUAACAUGCAAUUCAAAUAAAAAACUAACAACCAAAAUGAAUGCACCUUUUUUUUUAUUUUAUUUAAAAAUUAAUAAUAAGAUUGCAAUCCUAAAUAUGCAAGAUGACAACAAACAUAAUCCUAAUUAAGAUUUUUUUUUUAUUUUUUUAUUUUACGAAAAUAAGAUUCGACUUAACUAACUUGACGAUGGCAAAUCGAACAAGAUAAGAUUGAUAUCCAAAAAUUAGUGAACCAUAUCUCGCGCAUGAGAUCGGGUUGACCAAUUUUAAAUUAAAUCGCGAAUCGAAUCUCGGGCUUGAGAUUAGAUUGUCGAUUUUUAUAAGGGAUUGUGAGUCGGAUUUCGGGCGCGAAAAUCGGACUGUCAAUCCCUAGCUUUAGGGACUAUUUCAUAUUGGGAUAUCAAUAAUAUAUCAAGGAACAAUUCAACUAAAACAGAAUAUAAAAAAAAGGUAAAAUAAAAGAAAAGAAAAACCACCUAAUCAAUUUUUCUUUUUCUUUUUCUGUUUUUCUUCUUUUCCAGACACCGCUCGUGGAUUUCCAAAGGGAGCCGGCUGAUCAGUCCGGCAAAGGGGAUUCGGCAAGGGCGACUGCAGGCGACGCGGGGACGUGCAACGCGGCUACUGGGCGUCACGAACAGGGCACCUAGUCGUCGAGUCACCGAUCUGCUGCUCGUAAAGAUUCGAGCAGCAGGGGGAACGGAGCGAUGGGGAGAUCGGGUACGUCUGGGGCUCCGGGUGCGAGAGUCGCGGAUUGAGCAGGACCAGCGUUGGGCGGAUCGGCGUUGGCAGAAGCUCCGAGCAGCAGGGCACAGGGAUUCGGCGGUAGCGUCGAAUCGCAAGGUUGAGGCCGAGGUUGGGCAAGGGGGCUCGUGGGCUUCUGAGCCAACGUUCAGGGACGGAGGCGAUUCGGCAGCAAGGCUGGGUGUCGGUGCGGCGUCCGACGAGCAGGAAUGUCGGGUCUCGGCGCGGCGGAAGAGAGGCGCAGCAGUGCGGUGGUGGAUUGCGCGGUGAUGCGGAGGCUUGGCAGCUGCAGGGGCGUCGGAGAUGGAGGCGCUGCAGGCACGUCGGGCUCUCGGAACAGCUACACGGGCGCGGUGAACGGCAGUAGUCGCUUGGUGAGGCGGAGUAGCUCCGGGUAGUCACAGAUGGAGCAGCAACGCGGGGGCAGCAAACUUGGAGAGAUGAUGAACAGUAGGGGUCAAAUCACCCCCUUUUUCUGCUUUUCCGCUUCUCCUCUGUCUCUUCCUGUCACUCUCCCUCUCUCACGGCAAUGCUCUCUCUAACUUUUCCUUUUCCCUGCAGUUUGUCAGGAAAAAAGAAAAGAGAAAGAAACCCUUUUUUUGCUGAAGAUGGACGAGGAAGAAAAACCUUUCUCUCUCUUUUUACUUGACUUUUUUUUUACCGAAGAGAAGCCCCCUUCAAGUCAUCGUACACGGUUGCUUUUAUAGGGGGUAAGAGAUAAGCUUUCAAUUUCCCCUUCAAAUCUACAUCCGCGAAACAUUUUCACCAACCGAUCACUAUUGAUAAAGAUUUAAGAUUAUGAUGAAUAUUUUCUCGAAAUCCAAAUCUCGCAAAGAUAAAUCGCAAUAUUUUUUCACCCAUGUGCUCUUAUCCAAAAUAUUCAUAUCCCGAAAAAAUUUCAAAACUUUUAUUUUUCCCGAAAUAAUUAAAAAAACAUGGGCUUGGGCCAACCAGCUCGCUUCGUGGGCUUAGUCCAACUAAUUUGAACCCGUUCGCACUAGUCCAAUAAAUAAAAUGCCAAUAACAAAAUAAAAUGCAAAUAUAAAUCUAUAUGCUAUGCAAUUAAUAAAAUUAACCCCUAAUUUCCUAUGUAAUAAAUAAAUAAACUAAAUCGUCAAAAUUUAGGUGUCAACAUUGUGUGACCACCUAAAGACCCUAAUACGUAUGAAUAUGCGGGGUAAUGAACCUAUCCUGAUGCGUAUGAAUAUGUGGGAUGAUACCUGAUUAAGUUCAGAUGUCCCACGUCAACGGAUGCCAGUCACGGUGGAGCCCAGGCCGAUGCUCCUUAUUGGAUGCCGUCUUGAUGCAUAUGAAUACGCGGGAUGAUGUCGUGCUCAACGGAGUAGGACGAUGCCCGGU